AUUGAACGCUGGCGGCAUGCUUUACACAUGCAAGUCGAACGGUAACAGGCCGCAAGGUGCUGACGAGUGGCGAACGGGUGAGUAAUGCAUCGGAACGUGCCCAGUCGUGGGGGAUAACUGCUCGAAAGAGCAGCUAAUACCGCAUACGAGCUAUGGAUGAAAGCGGGGGACCGUAAGGCCUCGCGCGAUUGGAGCGGCAGAUGUCAGACUAGGUAGUUGGUGGGAUAAAAGCUUACCAAGCCGACGAUCUGUAGCUGGUCUGAGAGGACGACCAGCCACACUGGGACUGAGACACGGCCCAGACUCCUACGGGAGGCAGCAGUGGGGAAUUUUGGACAAUGGGCGAAAGCCUGAUCCAGCAAUGCCGCGUGCAGGAUGAAGGCCUUCGGGUUGUAAACUGCUUUUGUACGGAACGAAAAGCUUCGGGUUAAUACCCUGGAGUCAUGACGGUACCGUAAGAAUAAGCACCGGCUAACUACGUGCCAGCCGCCGCCGUAAUAC
rnacentral:rRNA from 1 species